rnacentral:rRNA from 1 species
GACGAACGCUGGCGGCGUGCUUAACACAUGCAAGUCGAACGGAAAGGCCCUGCUUGCAGGGUACUCGAGUGGCGAACGGGUGAGUAACAAGUGGGUGAUCUGCCCUGCACUUCGGGAUAAGUCUGGGAAACUGGGUCUAACACCGGCUAGGUACCAUUUUUAGCGGGAUGGUUGGCAAGUUUUUUCGGUGUAGGAUGAGUUUGCGGGCUAUCAGCUUGUUGGUGGGGUAAUGGCCUACCAAGGCGGCGACGGGUAGCCGGCCUGUGAGGGUGGACGGCCACAUAGAGACUUAGAGGCGGCCCAAGCUGCGACGCGAGGCAACAGGGGGGAAUAUUGCACAAUGGGCGCAAGCCUGAUGCAGCGACGCCGCGUGUGGGAUGACGGCCUUCGUGUUGUAAACUCCUUGCGCUAGUGACGAAGCUUUUUGUGACGGUACCUAGAUAAGAAGCACCGGCUAACUACGUG